UUGUUUUGAUUGAGAAAUUCGAAAUGAAGUCAUCACAAUAUUAGGUAGCAGGUUUUGUAAAUGAGUUUCGAGAUUUGCGUUUGAGUUCCAGAUUUGAAGUUGGUUUCGAUCCAGAUACCAGAUUUGAAGUCGUUUUGGUUCCAGAUUUUUUUUUUGUGGAGUUUAAAGUGUAGAUUGUAAUUAUAUGAGAUUUGUAUUAGAUUUUGUUCCAAGUAUACUAGAAUUUAGUUCUAGAUUUUUUUCCACUUGUAUCUACAUUUAUUAUCAAUAAUAAUUGAAUUGAUUAA